UGAGGUAUUAGUUUGUGCUGUUAU
rnacentral:piRNA from 2 species